GACGAACGCUGGCGGCGUGCUUAACACAUGCAAGUCGAACGGAAAGGCCCUGCUUGCAGGGUACUCGAGUGGCGAACGGGUGAGUAACACGUGGGUGAUCUGCCCUGCACUUCGGGAUAAGCCUUGGAAACUGGGUCUAAUACCGGAUAGGAGCCAUUUUUAGUGUGAUGGUUGGAAAGUUUUUUCGGUGUAGGAUGAGCUCGCGGCCUAUCAGCUUGUUGGUGGGGUAAUGGCCUACCAAGGCGGCGACGGGUAGCCGGCCUGAGAGGGUGGACGGCCACAUUGGGACUGAGAUACGGCCCAGACUCCUAAGGGAGGCAGAAGUGGGGAAUAUUGCACAAUGGGCGCAAGGCUGAUGCAGCGACGCCGCGUGGGGGAUGACGGCCUUCGGGUUGUAAACUCCUUUCGCUAGGGACGAAGCUUUUUGUGACGGUACCUAGAUAAGAAGCACCGGCUAACUACGUG
rnacentral:rRNA from 1 species